rnacentral:misc_RNA from 1 species
CAGCACUCUCUAGCAUCCCUACAAGCACUUUCUCCAUUUCUGCAUACUUGCCUGCCCUACCAUAACCACUCAAGACUAUAUUCUGAGUGACAGUAUUAGGAACUAUGGAACGAUCAGCCAUUUGUUCAUAAAGUGACUCAACCAAAUCAAAUCGGCUAGCAUCCACACAUGCCUUGAUUAAUAUACUAUAGGUGUAAACAUCUGGCUGACAAUGAGGUAGGUCAAUCAUAGCAUUAAGAAGAGAAAAUGCCUUGUCAAGUAUGUUACUUCUACAAUAAGCACCAAUCAAGG